GACGGAGGAUGCAAGUGUUAUCCGGAAUCACUGGGCGUAAAGCGUCUGUAGGUGGUCAAAUAAGUCAACUGUUAAAUCUUGAGGCUCAACUUCAAAAUCGCAGUCGAAACUAUUAAACUAGAGUAUAGUAGGGGUAAAGGGAAUUUCCAGUGGAGCGGUGAAAUGCGUAGAGAUUGGAAAGAACACCAAUGGCGAAAGCACUUUACUGGGCUAUUACUGACACUGAGAGACGAAAGCUAGGGUAGCAAAUGGG
rnacentral:rRNA from 1 species